CGAAAGUUCUGAGAACUUUUUUGGAACAUUUACGAAUUGAAAACUGCGUUAGAAUAUUAUAAGCUGAGAAUAGCAAUGUAUAUUACCCUGAACGCUAAAGUUGGAUGUUUUGCUUCGACCAAAUUAUUGAUGAUGUGUGACUAAUACAUUGCAUUGGAUCUUUCGUAUUUAUGAAGGAUAUUCAGUAUUCCUUUGAAGAAACUAAGACAUGGUAAUUUAUCAAACUCGUUCUAUUGUGGUAUGAGUGAAUCGACACUUACGUAAAUCGGACGGAUAGCUGAAUUAUUACGAACUUUGUUUAUUAUAUAAAAAUAAACGGCUAGUUGAAUUAUUGUUUGGAAUUAGUCAUGAAAAAAAUUGGUCAUUUAAAUCGUAUAAGAACGCACACUUUUUCCAUCUACAGAUUUAACUGCCCCAAAAAUGUCUGAAUGCAAUCAGUAUUUAGACGAACCCUUAUUCGAUUUAAUGUUAGCGUAAUUUCCGUAAACAUUCGCUGUAUUACACUAUUUCACAAACUCAUCCUUGUUCUCUGUUUUGCUAAACAAUUAACGAGAAGUGGAGUAUCAAAAGAACGAGAUGCACAAAAUUGGUAAAGCUUAAACAAAAAAGGGAAGUGAAUAAUUUGACAGAGAAUUCUAAUUUGCAAGAUCAGCAUAUUUAAUAGGUAAUGCAAUUUAAUGUGUUCGAUUGCUGAACUACAAAUAGUGGUCCAGUAUUACAUACAUCAUCGAUUCGAAUAAUCCAACAAAUUUGUUUACACUAUACGCAA